CCUCCCGGCGGGCGCGGGCCGCCCCUCCGGCCGCUCAGCGGCAGGAGCAGGUCUUGUCUGAGGCCCGGCGGUGGCUGGCUGGCCGUCUCGCAGCGGGAGAAGGGAGGGAGCGGCCCGGGCCUCUCCCCGCUGAAGCCGCCUCUUGGUGAGCGGCGCCUGAGUGGAGCCGGGCCGAAAGCAGGGAGCUCCCCGCGCUGGUCGGGAGAGGGGUGGCCUCUGGGGCGUUUGGCGAUGUAUGUACUGAAAGUUGUCGUAAUCUAGCGCUCACCGAAAAACGCCUCAAAUAUGUAUUAAACCCCCCAAAACCAGUUAACUUUGUUUUGGAAAAUCAGUAUGGCCUUUUCUGGCUUGUGUUUAAAAAUGUUUUUGAUGGACUAGCACAAUUCUGCAGCCUUUACUGGAAAAAACCUACCGUACAGUAUGUCAGACUGCGUAGUGAAUGGUGUUUCUAUCCAGUUCCUUUGUAGCAUUAAAUUUGCGUUUACUUCGUGCUUCAGAAAGCCUGGGUGCACUGACUGGCUGCUCUCAUUCCGCCUCUGUCAAGAGGCUUGCUGCAGAGAGACCUAAAGGAACAUCCUCUUCUUGCAACCCCAGAGCCAUAUCACCGACGUUUAUCUCAGGGAUAAGGACAACGACUAUGUCUGAGUGCAAGCGAGCUGUGCUCGGAGGCUGGAGCCAGUACCAAGCCCCAGGCUGACAGGACUGCUGUGGGAUUUCAGACCCAAGAGAGACAGUGCAAAGUAGUUUGAGAUGUGGCUAGUGCAGGAUACGUGUUCAUUUUGGUUGUGCCUUGUAAAAUGAAAACCAAAACAACAUGGUAUGCAGACAGAAGACCCUGAUGUCACCUCCAUCCAGCAGUUCACCUUCAGAUGCUGACUUGAGAGACUGUUAAAUAUUAGUUUCUUGGGUUUUGGCUCAAGAAGUCUGAACACUAGGGAAGUACAGUUUCCAAAUGAAACUGAUGAAAUCCUCCCUUAAACAGAAGUGUACAUGUGGAAACUUUCUUGGAAAGCAUCCCCAGGAAUCAAGAUGCUACUUUGUAAGAUCUACUAUGUGUCUGAUAGUUCAGCCACUUCUUACAGAGUUGCAUUAAUAGGAUUUUUCCCACUAAAAAUAUCGCUGUGCUGAAUUUUUACCAUGUCUUAAUGCGGGUCUGUCAUAGAAAAUAGCUGAU